rnacentral:rRNA from 1 species
AUUGAACGCUGGCGGCGUGCCUAACACAUGCAAGUCGAGCGGUAACAGGUGUAGCAAUACAUGCUGACGAGCGGCGAACGGGUGAGUAAUGCUUCGGAAUCUACCCAAUGGUGGGGAAUAACCAGCCGAAAGGUUGGCUAAUACCGCAUACGUCCCACGGGAGAAAGCAGGGGAUCGCAAGACCUUGCGCCAAUGGAUGAGCCGAAGUCGGAUUAGCUAGUUGGAGGGUAACGGCCUACCAAGGCGACGAUCCGUAGCUGGUCUGAGAGGACGACCAGCCACACUGGGACUGAGACACGGCCCAGACUCCUACGGGAGGCAGCAGUGGGGAAUAUUGGACAAUGGGGGAAACCCUGAUCCAGCGACGCCGCGUGUGUGAAGAAGGCCUGCGGGUUGUAAAGCACUUUUAGUGGGGAUGAAAUGUUCAGGGUUAACACCUCUGGAUUUUGACCUAACCCACAAGAAAAGCACCGGCUAACUCUGUGCCAGCA